rnacentral:tRNA from 1 species
GGCAGUAUGGCCGAGUGGUCUAUGGCGUGUGACUCAAGCUUAUAAUAAUGCUUGCCCGCUUCGGGUUUCUCAUCAUCGUAUGAUGGCAAGGGUUCGAAUCCCUUUACUGUCA